rnacentral:tRNA from 1 species
UACCCAAUGCGACAAAACGGUAAGUCGAGAGGAUGCUAAGUCCGAUGAUGCAGGUUCGAGUCCUGCUUGGGUGAC